UACAUAGUGAAUAGUAGAGCACAAAGGAGUGCAGGGAAACAAAGGGAUCAGGGAAUACAGGUGCAUAAUUCAUUAAAAGUGGAGUCACAGGUAAAUAAGCAUAUUGGCCUUCAUAAAUCAAGUAUUGAGUACAGGAGAUGGGAUGUUAUGUUGAAGUUGCACAAGAUGUUGGUGAGGCCUAAUUUAAUAGAAACAUAGAAAACCUACAGCACAAUACAGGCCCUUCAGCCCACAAAGUUGUGCCGAACAUGUCCCUACCUUAGAAAUUACUAGGCUUACCCAUAGCCCUAUGUUUUUCUAAGCUCCAUGUACCUAUCCAAAAGUAUCUUAAAAGAACCUGCUGUAUCUGCCUCCACCACCGUUGCUGGCAUUCCAUUCCAUGCACUCACCACUCUCUGAGUAAAAAACUUACCCCUGACAUCUCCUCUGUACCUGCUCCCCAGCACUUUAAACCUGUGUGCUAGCCAUUUCAGCCCUGGGAAAAAGCCUCUGACUAUCCACACAAUCAAUCCUUCAUCUCUCCAAGGAGAAAAGGCCGGGUUCACUCAACCUAUUCUCAUAAGGCAUGCUCCCCAAUCCAGGCAACAUCCUUGAAAAUCUCCUCUGCACCCUUUCUACGGCGUCUACAUCCCUCCUGUAGUGAGGUGACCAGAACUGAGCACAGUACUCCCAAGUGCGGUCUGACCAGGGUUCUAUAUAGCUGCAACAUUACCGCUUGGCUCCUAAAUUCAAUUCACGAUUAAUGAAGGCCAAUACACUGUAUGCCUUCUUAACCACAGAGUCAACCUGCGCAGCUGUCCUAUGGACUCGGACCCCAAGAUCCCUCUGAUCUUCCACACUGCCAAGAGUCUUACCAUUAAUACUAUAUUCUGCCAUCAUAUUUGACCUACCAAAAUGAACCACUUCACACUGAACUCCAUCUGCCUCUUCUUAGGCCAGUUUUGCAUCCUAACAAUGUCCCGCUGUAACCUCUGACAGCCCUCCAUACUAUCCACAACACCUCCAACCUUUGUGUCAUUAGCAAACUUACUAACCCAUCCCUCCACUUCCUCAUCCAGGUCACUUAUAAAAUUCAUGAAGAGUAAGGGUCCCAGAGCAGAUCCCUGAGGCACUCCACUGGUCACCAACUUCCAUGAAGAAUAUGACCCGUCUACAACCACUUCUGUGGGCAAGCCAGAUCUGAAAACUCAAAGCAAUGUCCCCUUGAAUCCUUACUUUCUCAAUAAGCCUUCGAUAGGGUACUUUAUCAUAUGCUUUGCUGAAAUCCACAUACACUAUAUCUACUGCUCUUACUUCUUCAGUGUGUUUAGUCACAUCCUCAAAAAAUUCAAUCAGGCUCUUAAGGCACGACCUGCCCUUGACAAAGCCAUGCUGACUAUUCCUAAUCAUAUUAUGCCUCUCCAAAUGACUCUCAGGAUCUUCUCCAUCAAUUUACCAACCACUGAAGUAAGACUUGCUGGUCUAUAAUUUCCAGGGUUCUCCCUUUCUUGAAUAAAGGAACAACAUCCGCAUCCCUCCAAACCUCUGGAACCUCUCCCGUCCCCAUUGGUGAUUCAAAGAUCAUUGCCAGAGGCUCAGCAAUCUCCUCCCUCAACUCCCAUAGUAGCCUGGGGUACAUCUCAUCUGGUCCCAGCGAUUUAUCCAACUUGAUGCUUUCCAAAAGCUUCAGCACAUUCUUUUUCUUCAUUUGGAAGAUGCUGUGCAGAUUUGGUCACCUGCCUACAGUAAAGAUGUAAGUAAGGUUGAAUAAGCAGAGAGAAAAUUUGCAAGGAUCUUGCUAGGACUGCAAGACCUGAGUUAUGAUUGAAUAGGUUAGGACUUUAUUCCUUGGAAUGUAGAAGAUGGAGGGGAGAUUUGAUAGAUGUGUACAGAUUUAUGAGGGGGUAAAGAUUGGGUAUCUUCUGCAGUGCCUCAAACAGUCUAUCAUCAAAACAGUAUCUGGGUCAUGGCUUCCUCUCAUUACUACCAUCGGGGAGCAGAUACAGGAGCUUGAAGGCUCACCCUCAAUGUUUUAGGAACAGGUUCUUCUCCCUGCAAUCAGAUUUCUAAAUGAUCCAUGAACACUAUCUUACUAUUCCUCUUUACCAUUAUUUAUUUAUUUAUUUAUUUAUAUUGUAACAUAUAGUAAUUUGUUAUGUCUUACACUGUACUGGUGCUAAAACAACAAAUUCCCUGACUUAUGUCAUUGACAAUAAACCUAAUUCUGAUUCUGAUUCAAAAUUGCCACAAGCAUCAACAACAGCUGCAGGCUCUUCCAGAUACUAUGGCAUUAAUAUCAUAUAUUGAAUAGACAGACAUUUGUCCAAACCAUCUUUGGUACUUUCCCACUGUGUGAGAAAAGAAUCCCAAAUGUCAUUUCACCCACUUCUCACCUCUUUGUCUUUGUUCCCCCUUCAGUUCAUGUUUGAAUCAAGAAUGCGAUGGGACCCAAGCUGAUGGUCUUCGUGAAACCCAAACUGAACAUUGAUGAGCAAGUUACUAAGGACUAGGUAGCACUGCCAACAGCACUUUUCAUCAAAUGAUCUCUGUUAGGUAGCAAUUGAGACAACCCUAAAUACUUCUGUGGUCCUGAACUUGAAAGACCUUGAAAUAUUACUUUUCUUCAUAGAAUUGACUCCUAAUCAGUCUCCAGGGAAGCAUAGUUACUCAUGCCAGUCAAGGACAGGAUUAACUAUUGUUUUCCUCCAUAAGCAGUUGUAAAACUUUGCAGAUCUUUAUAAAGCUAAUAAAUAAAGGGUAGAAUAAAUAAUUCGGGGGUCAAGAUGGCGCCAGCGAACAACAAUUUCUCGAACAACAUCUUCCAGGGAGCAAAUCUCUUCAAUGAUUUCACUUUUUUUAUGCCUUCUUGUUCUUUUUGUUUUGUUUGUGUUACAGAAACUGUUGGAACCCACAACGUUCAGUUUGGAACUUGAUCGAAUGAUCUCGCAACCUGCUGCAUCCGGGGAGCUGCCUCGCGGAGAAGAUCAGAAACGGACCGAGAAUAUGAGCUGACUCACGGAAAACACCAGAGAUGCAUGGUGGAGAGUACAUUGACUGGUUGCAUCACAGCCUGCUAUGGAAACACAAAUAUCCUUGAACAGAAUAUCUUAGAAAAGGUCGUGGAUGUGGCCCAGUCCUUCAGGGGUAAAGCCUUUCCCACCACUGAGCACAUCUACAUGGAGCACUGUCACAGGAAGCAGCAACCAUCCUCAGGGACGCCCACUGCCCUGGUCAUGCUCUCUUCUCACUGCCAUCGUCACAAAAAAAGUACAGGAGUCUCAGGACUCACACCAGGUUCAGGAACAGUUAUUACCCAUCAUCCUUCAGAUUCUUGAACCAAAGGGAAAACAUAACUCAAUUUCACUUGCCCCAUCACUGAAAGGUUCUCACAACCUAUAGACUAACUUUCAAGGAUGACUCUACAUCCCAUGUUCUUGAUAUUUAUCGCUUACUUAUUUAUUUUUAUUAUUUCUUUCUUUUUGCAUCUGCAGAGUUUGUUGUCUUUUGCACACUGGUUGAACACCCAGUUAGUGCGGUCUUUCAUUGAUUCUACUGUGGUUAUUAUUGUAUUAUGCAUUUAUUGAGUAUGCCCACAAAAAUGAAUCCAGGAUGACAUGUACGUACUUUGAUAAUAAAUUUACUUUGAACAUUUGUGCUGCAUUAUUAGCAUCUGAGUGUUUAUCAGAAAGAAGCUGUCUGGUAACAAUGGACAACAAAGAUUUAGCUUCCUGAAAACUUUUGUGUGUACCUUAUGGAUUUUGGGCUGCUGAUUAUGACAAUCACUGUGAAAUUUCCCUAUCACAAGCCAUUUUUUAAUAUUUCCUAUAUUUGUCAUUUCAAAUCAUUAUUCAAGUCAGAAUAACUGAUGUCAAGAUUAAGGAAGGCUUUAUUUAUUUAUUUUUACUUAUUCAUUGAGAUACAACAUGGAAUUGGCCCUUCUAGCACUCCAAGUCUUGCUGCCCAGCAAUGCCCUGACCUAAUCACAGGACAAUUUACAACGACCAAUUAACCCACCAACUUUUUGGACUGUGGGAGGGUACAGGAACAGCUGGAGGAAAUCUAUGCCAUUACAGGGAGAAUGUGCAAACACCUUACAGGCAGCAAUGCUUUUGUUAGUCCACAGAUCAAACAGGGCAUCAACGACAGGCAAUUUGAAGAACUUCUAGUGGGAUGGAAGAAAAUCGCACGGAAGGUACUUAAGAAUGUUGUUGAAAAUUUUCUUGGCAACUACAGGUGCCAAACCACGUGCAGCUGGUUGACAACAUGCCUCAAGCAUGCAAAACUAUGAAGUGCAAAAUGUCACUACAGAUUCAUUUUCUGCAUUCCCGUUUAGACUUCUUCCCUGCAAAUCUUGGCACUGUCAGUGACAAGCAUGAUGAAAGGUUUCACCAGGAGAAACUAUCAGAGCAACUGGAAUCCAUCGAUGCUGGCUGAUUAUUAUUGGACACUUAAGCGAGAAGCCUCAGACACCGAGUACAAAUGAAAAUCAUCAACAAAAAGAUUUUUGGCUUAGUGGAAUUAUUUCUAUUAAACAUAUUAUAUUCAAUAAAAGUUAAUUUCUUGUUUCUCCAAAUUCCUAAGUGAUACAAGUAGUCUGAAAUUAUGUUCCGCUUCAAGCAGUCUAUCAUAAGCAAAAUAAAAUUCUGAGGAAGCAACACUUUUGAAAAAAUUGUUGGCCAGUGUAAUCAGUGAUUAGCUUCAAGUACAAAAGGGUACAUGGCUUGGAGAAAUGUAAAAUUAUAACCUUUAACAUGAAAACAUUCUCAUCAGAACCUGCCUGUUCUAGAUUUCAGCCCACUGUCCGUCUACUUAUAAAAUUCUGACUACAAUACAUCAAUACAGGUUGAGCACCCAUUAUCUGAAAUUCCAAAAUGCAUAAACGUCCAGAAUCCAAAAUGUUUUUGAACGCUGUCAUGAUGUCACAAUUGGAAAAUUCCACAAGGUGCCGGGAAGGUUCCGAGGUGGAGCAGUUUUCCGCGCACCAGAGUCAGUUCUGAGAAGUGACUUCACAUGUAAUAAACAGAAGUUAAUGAAAAAUAGAAGAACAUCACAUAAAGUAAAAAAAUGAAGAUCAGAAUUAUGUAUUGAAAGAGUGGAUCAGAAUGAACAUAUGCCAUUUAAUGGGAUGCUGAUCAUGAAACAAGCAGCAAUUUAUCAUGAGAAACUGAAAUGGAAUGUAACUGCGAAUACUCAGCGGGCUGGUUGCUGAAAUUUAAGAAGAGGCAUGGCAUUAAUUUUUUAAAGAUUUUUGGUGAUAAAGCAUCCACUCACCAUGAAGCAGCGGAGAAACUCAUUGAUGAAUUUGCCAAGGAUGUUGUUGAUGAAAAUCUAACACACAAAGUGGUUGCAUUAGUACACAUGUGUGAUGAAGAACUGUAAGACAAAACUGCACAUAAAUUCAGAGUUGGGAAUGAUGACGAUGCCAAACAGCCACUGACUGUCCACCUGGGUGACCAAGGUAUUGAUAGCUUACCUUUCUGGUGGUUCAAUGUACUCAUUAUUAUUUCAUGUACAAAAUUAUUACAAGUAAUAUAUAAAACUACCUUCAUGUAUAAGUUGUAUACAUAAAGUAAAUGGAUUUCAUGUUUAGAUUUGGGUCCCAUGCUCAAGGUAUCUCAUUAUAUAGAUGCAAAUGUUCCAAAAUACCGAAAAAAUCCAAAAUCCAAAACACUUUUGGCCCCAAAGCAUUUCGGUGCUCAGCCUGUAUUAAUAACAUAUAAUGUCAAACUUUGUAAACCUAGCACUUUGAGUUGUGCAGCAUUUUUGUCUACUGACAGACACCGCCAAGGCAGAAACAUUCACGUUGCUCUCUGUGGGAUACGGAUCAGUCCAACAUUCUGUCCAGGCCCUCUGCAGAGCAGCAACAGCUAUACCUCAAAUAAAUUAAUUGUAUAUGAAACAUGUUGGAAUGGUUCUGGAAAACAAUGCUUCAUAACAAAAGUUCCUCUCCACAGCAACAACAGGAAGAAAGUUAUAUUAAAUUACCAAACUGACAUGAACAAAAAUGAGGAUUCAACCUACACAAUGUCUUCCACUUAGGACAGCCUACACAGUACGUGGAUCACAGAAUCAUGUUCUUAAAUGAUGCUUUGAUUCUUGGAUCCGCUGCUUGUUGUUUACUGUCACUGUGAGAGUUUUCCAGAUCUUGGGUCUAAGAAUCUACAUUUACUAUUUUGAUGCCUUGAGAAACAAUAGAUCAGAAAGGAGAAGUACAUGGAACAUCAAAACAGAUCAGUAGCAAAGUAUAAAAAAGUGAUUCAAUAAUACUGAGGUUAUUUGAAUAGACAACUUUUAACAAUGAAAUGCGCACAUUACCAUUUGAAAUAAUCAAAAUAACAGCACUUAAAUUGUGGCAUUUGGUGACACUACCAUAUUUGUGAAAGGUUGAAGCAAGUAAUUUCUCCAAAGACAUUUAGAGGUAGAUGAUUACUGCAUCAUAUUCCACCAUGUUUAAAUAUUGUUAGAUAUUUGCAAAUUAGAUUUAGGAAUCUGAACAUUACCACACCUUCUUCCAAGAUCUAAAGAUAUCAUAAAGUACAUGAUGUUGUAUUAGCUGAACGAUAUUUAAUAUGUUCAGAUGAAACUAUCUGAUCUGAUAAUUUAAUGACUGUUAAUCUUUUUUUGAAUUUAUUGUUAUGUAUUUAACAAUUCAGUAAUAUUUGAUUAAUAUUGUAAAUAUAAGGUUUGAUGAAGCAUUCUUGUUCAUUUAAAUAAUUCAUUAUGUAACCCUAUAUGUAAAAUACAUUAUAAGUGCAUGCCUUGAUUAAAGUAAAAAUUGAAGUACA